rnacentral:rRNA from 1 species
UACGGAGGGUGCAAGCGUUAAUCGGAAUUACUGGGCGUAAAGCGCGCGUAGGCGGUUUUUAAGUCGGAUGUGAAAGCCCCGGGCUCAACCUGGGAACUGCAUCCGAUACUGGAAGACUAGAAUGCGGGAGAGGGAGGUAGAAUUCCAUGUGUAGCAGUGAAAUGCGUAGAUAUAUGGAGGAAUACCAGUGGCGAAGGCGGCCUCCUGGCUCGACAUUGACGCUGAGGUGCGAAAGCGUGGGGAGCAAACGGG